UACAGAGGUCUCAAGCGUUGUUCGGAUUCAUUGGGCGUAAAGGGUGCGUAGGUGGCGGGGCAAGUCAGGUGUGAAAUCUCGGAGCUCAACUCCGAAACUGCACUUGAUACUGCCUUGCUCGAGUACUGGAGAGGAGAUUGGAAUUUACGGUGUAGCAGUGAAAUGCGUAGAUAUCGUAAGGAAGACCAGUGGCGAAGGCGGGUCUCUGGACAGUUCCUGACGCUGAGGCACGAAGGUCAGGGGAGCAAACGGG
rnacentral:rRNA from 1 species